rnacentral:rRNA from 1 species
AAAAGAAGUAGGUAGCUUAACCUUCGGGAGGGCGCUUACCACUUUGUGAUUCAUGACUGGGGUGAAGUCGUAACAAGGUAACCGUAGGGGAACCUGCGGUUGGAUCACCUCCUUACCUUAAAGA